rnacentral:misc_RNA from 1 species
GAGCUCCAGCUGUCCCAACAUCCUCAGGUACUGCUGCAACCUCAACAUGUAAUCGAUCAACAUAAGCAUUUGAUAUCCAACCCCCAACAAGAAGAGCUGCAUUUUCCCCUUCAACAACAACAAUAAAAUCCUUCAAAUUGUUUUCCUCAAAAUGCUCCAACACAUAAGACAACACCGGCCGAUUUGCCACUGGAAGCAAAGCUUUUGGCACAUCCUUUGAAACAAGAGGAACAAGGCUUUUACAGAAGCCACCUGCUAAAACUACCACUUGAAAAUCCAUGGAUAUGAAGUAACCUUCUUUAGCUGCGAUAAUGGCGAUUUGGGUCCUCCACAAAAAU